rnacentral:rRNA from 1 species
GAUGAACGCUGGCGGCGUGCCUAAUACAUGCAAGUCGAGCGAACAGAUAAGGAGCUUGCUCCUUUGACGUUAGCGGCGGACGGGUGAGUAACACGUGGGUAACCUACCUAUAAGACUGGAAUAACUCCGGGAAACCGGGGCUAAUGCAGGAUAACAUGUUGAACCGCAUGGUUCUACAGUGAAAGGCGGCUUUGCUGUCACUUAUAGAUGGACCCGCGCCGUAUUAGCUAGUUGGUGAGGUAACGGCUCACCAAGGCAACGAUACGUAGCCGACCUGAGAGGGUGAUCGGCCACACUGGAACUGAGACACGGUCCAGACUCCUACGGGAGGCAGCAGUAGGGAAUCUUCCGCAAUGGGCGAAAGCCUGACGGAGCAACGCCGCGUGAGUGAUGAAGGUCUUCGGAUCGUAAAACUCUGUUAUUAGGGAAGGACAAAUGCGUAAGUAACUGUGCGCGUCUUGACGGUACCUAAUCAGAAAGCCACGGCUAACUACGUG